AGGUGCCCCGGGAAAACUUGGGGGAGAAUGGGCAUCCCACCCCAGCACUUUCUAGGAAGAAGGGCAGCAUUUUGAAGGGCUGGAAGUAGAGGAAGGAGGUUGCGGGUAGAAGACUCCAUACUUUCUGUGACGCCUAUUCCUUAGCUUGUGAUGAAUGUUUUCUCAGUAUCCUAUGCUGAAAACAGGUAGAUACUAAUAUCGAUCUUCAAGGGAGGGCUGUUGAGUAUUGAAUAAGACAAAAACAUGGAAGCAAUCAGCACCAUGCUGGAAUCAAGGCUAUCUGUAAUCACAGGGCUAUUUGAAAAAGAGAAGAAAAGGUGUCUUGAAAUUCAACCAACAUGUUUCAAUUAUUUGCUCCUAAGAACAACAGAAGUUUCAACAUUCUGCCAACAGAGUAACUCCUGGAAGAUUGGCACAGAAGAAGGCACAAGGAGAGCCUUUAUAUAACCAAAGAUAUUUUUGGACCAUGAAUUCAGAAAUUCUCGGAGCCACCCAUCAGUGCCUGAGCUUCAGUGAGUCCAUAUCCCAUGUCACCCACGGCAAAGGAGACUCUAAGACUUCUGAAGAGUUUCUUGCUUCUUUCCUGUGGGGCAGUGACUCCACUUCCCAGCAGUAAUGGAAUAUCCUGAAUUAGCUACAUUAAUGUUAGAACCAUUUGGACCUCACCCAGGACUUCAACUACAUUAUGCUAAAGUUACAGAACCCAAAUUUGGCAACUGUCUGCAUCUGAACAACAGAAGUUUCAACAUUCUGCCAACAGAGUAACUCCUGGACGAUUGGCACAGAAGAAGGCACAAGGCAAAUACCCAUCUCUGUACACCCUGUGCUACUGUGUCAUGUGCUGCUCCAGGCAACUCCAAUGGAUUGGCCACCCUGGCCAAUGUGUUCUAGUAUGUUACGUUUAUGUUCCCCUGCUUUCUACAAUCCUGUUCAAAGAGUUGCUGACUUAACCACAGAGAGGAUUCCAGAACCUGAGACACAGAAUAAACUUGAGCAAUCAUAGUCCAUCCACUUCAUUGUCUCAUCAAAAACCAAAGGUCCAGUGAAGCUCUGGAACUCAACGCUGUAAAGGAGCGAAGGAGCUUCUAUACAGAGCCUGGAUGCCUGUCUCCUUAUCCUACUUCAGUGGACUUGACUGCAAUCCGGAUUAUGCUGUUUUCUAAGCAUUUAAAAUAAAAUAAAAAGUAUAA
rnacentral:lncRNA from 1 species